AGAGUUUGAUCCUGGCUCAGAAUGAACGCUGGCGGCGUGCUUAACACAUGCAAGUCGCACGAGAACGCUUCAGCUUGCUGAAGUUAGUAAAGUGGCGCACGGGUGAGUAACGCGUGGGUAAUCUACCCCCGAAUUGGGGAUAACAUUGCGAAAGCGAUGCUAAUACCGAAUGAUAUCUUAAGUACCUCGGUACUUAAGAUCAAAGGUGGCCUCUACAUGUAAGCUAUUGUUUGGGGAUGAGCCCGCGUACCAUUAGCUUGUUGGUAGGGUAACGGCCUACCAAGGCUGCGAUGGUUAGCUGGUCUGAGAGGAUGAUCAGCCACACUGGAACUGACACACGGUCCAGACUCCUACGGGAGGCAGCAGUGAGGAAUUUUGCGCAAUGGGGGAAACCCUGACGCAGCAACGCCGCGUGAGUGAUGAAGGCUUUCGGGUCGUAAAGCUCUGUCAAGUGGGAAGAAACCACUUGGUGCUAAUAUCACCAAGUGCUGACGGUACCACUGAAGGAAGCACCGGCUAACUCCGUGCCAGCAGCCGCGGUAAUACGGGGGGUGCAAGCGUUAUUCGGAAUUACUGGGCGUAAAGAGCGCGUAGGCGGUCUCUUAAGUCAGGUGUGAAAGCCCGGGGCUCAACCCCGGAAGUGCACUUGAAACUAAGGAACUUGAGUAUGGGAGAGGGAAGUGGAAUUCCUGGUGUAGCGGUGAGAUGCGUAGAUAUCAGGAGGAACACCGGUGGCGAAGGCGACUUC
rnacentral:rRNA from 1 species